CAUGCAGUCGAGGGGCAGCAUGAUUUGUAGCAAUACAGAUUGAUGGCGACCGGCGCACGGGUGAGUAACGCGUAUGCAACUUACCUAUCAGAGGGGGAUAGCCCGGCGAAAGUCGGAUUAAUACCCCAUAAAACAGGGGUCCCGCAUGGGAAUAUUUGUUAAAGAUUCAUCGCUGAUAGAUAGGCAUGCGUUCCAUUAGGCAGUUGGCGGGGUAACGGCCCACCAAACCGACGAUGGAUAGGGGUUCUGAGAGGAAGGUCCCCCACAUUGGUACUGAGACACGGACCAAACUCCUACGGGAGGCAGCAGUGAGGAAUAUUGGUCAAUGGCCGAGAGGCUGAACCAGCCAAGUCGCGUGAAGGAAGAAGGAUCUAUGGUUUGUAAACUUCUUUUAUAGGGGAAUAAAGUGGAGGACGUGUCCUUUUUUGUAUGUACCCUAUGAAUAAGCAUCGGCUAACUCCGUGCCAGCAGCCGCGGUAAUACGGAGGAUGCGAGCGUUAUCCGGAUUUAUUGGGUUUAAAGGGUGCGUAGGUGGUGAUUUAAGUCAGCGGUGAAAGUUUGUGGCUCAACCAUAAAAUUGCCGUUGAAACUGGGUUACUUGAGUGUGUUUGAGGUAGGCGGAAUGCGUGGUGUAGCGGUGAAAUGCACAGAUAUCACGCAGAACUCCGAUUGCGAAGGCAGCUUACUAAACCAUAACUGACACUGAAGCACGAAAGCGUGGGGAUCAAACAGGAUUAGAUACCCUGGUAGUCCACGCAGUAAACGAUGAUUACUAGGAGUUUGCGAUACAAUGUAAGCUCUACAGCGAAAGCGUUAAGUAAUCCACCUGGGGAGUAC
rnacentral:rRNA from 1 species